rnacentral:rRNA from 1 species
UACGUAGGUGGCAAGCGUUGUCCGGAUUUACUGGGCGUAAAGAGCGCGCAGGCGGUCGUUUAAGUCGAAUGUGAAAGCCCCCGGCUCAACUGGGGAGGGUCAUUCGAUACAGAUCGACUUGAAGGCAGGAGAGGGAAGUGGAAUUCCGGGUGUAGUGGUGAAAUGCGUAGAUAUCCGGAGGAACACCAGUGGCAAAGGCGACUUCCUGGCCUGUUCUUGACGCUGAGGCGCGAAAGCUGGGGGAGCAAACGGG